rnacentral:lncRNA from 1 species
CUUUUUUCUUCCUUUUCUACAAUUUGUCAUUUCAUUGACACCCAGCUGGAUCUCGGAGCAGUGCUGGUGUUCUCUAGCCUGGGGAUAAGCCGGAGCAGCACAGUAACCAUGGCCUAUCUUAUGCAUUCCUUCCAGUUUUCCCUGAAGAAAGCUUGGGACUACGUUCUGAAAUGCAAGAUGAAUGUGAGACCACACCGGGGCUUUGUGAAACAGCUUUCAGACUGGGAGGCUCGAAUCUAUGGGACCACCAUCACUGAUGUCUCUGAACCCAAUUACUGAGCGCAGGAAAGGAUGCUUCUUUGUCUGCCCCCUGCCUCAUCUGUAGAAAGUGAACUCAACUCUGUUGACAAAGCUGUUAACAUAGAUGAACUGUUUUUAUCUUUAGCUUUAAUAAAUGAAGUCCAUAAUUGGAGCUGUUAGGGAUG